rfam:Salmo salar isolate Sally breed double haploid chromosome ssa04, whole genome shotgun sequence.
UCCCUUGUAGCUCAGUUGGUAGAGCAUGGCGCUUGUAACGCCAAGGUAGUGGGUUUGAUUCCGGGCAGUGGUG